UAGGGAAUAUUGCACAAUGGGCGAAAGCCUGAUGCAGCAACGCCGCGUGUGUGAUGAAGGCCUUCGGGUCGUAAAGCACUUUUCUGGGAGAUGAGAAAGGACAGUAUCCCAGGAAUAAGUCUCGGUUAACUACGUGCCAGCAGCCGCGGUAAAACGUAGGAGGCAAGCGUUAUCCGGAUUCACUGGGCGUAAAGCGCGUGCAGGCGGUGCGGUAAGUUGGGCGUGAAAUCUCCCGGCUCAACUGGGAGAGGUCGUCCAAUACUACCGUACUCGAGAGCAGAAGAGGAAGAUGGAAUUCCCGGUGUAGUGGUGAAAUGCGUAGAUAUCGGGAGGAACACCAGUGGCGAAGGCGAUCUUCUGGUCUGUUUCUGACGCUCAGACGCGACAGCUAGGGUAGUAAA
rnacentral:rRNA from 1 species